rnacentral:rRNA from 1 species
CAGUCGCCACGGUAAUACGUAGGUGGCGAGCGUUAUCCGGAAUCAUUGGGCGUAAAGGGAGCGCAGGCGGGCAUGUAAGUCUUUCUUAAAAGUUCGGGGCUCAACCCCGUGAUGGGAGAGAAACUAUAUGUCUUGAGUACAGGAGAGGAAAGCGGAAUUCCCAGUGUAGCGGUGAAAUGCGUAGAUAUUGGGAGGAACACCAGUGGCGAAGGCGGCUUUCUGGACUGCAACUGACGCUGAGGCUCGAAAGCCAGGGGAGCGAACGGGAUUAGAUACCCCUGUAGUCCCUGUCUCUUAUACA